rnacentral:rRNA from 1 species
UACGGAGGGGGCCAGCGUUGCUCGGAUUCAUUGGGCGUAAAGAGCUCGUAGGUGGCUCUGUAAGUCGGUGGUGAAAGCCCACGGCUCAACCGUGGAUACGCCUCCGAAACUGUGGAGCUUGAGGCUGGGAGAGGAAAUCGGAAUUCCUGGUGUAGCGGUGAAAUGCGUAGAUAUCAGGAGGAACACCGGUGGUGUAGACGGCUUGCUGGACCACAACUGACGCUGAGGCACGAAAGCGUGGGGAGCAAACAGG